rnacentral:tRNA from 1 species
UUUCUGGUGGUCCAGUGGUUAGGACUUGGCACUUUCACUGCUAUGGCCCAGGUUCAAUCCCUGGUUGGGGAA